UGGUGCGCCUGGCUUGGAGAACACAAUGUCGCGCCCGAUGAAUUUCCGGUCGCCGAAGCUGGCGUUCAUGCUGGAGUAGUACAGCCUCGCUUGCUGGCCGCACUCCUGAUCGCCGCCGGCGCCAAUGAUUGUAGGGUACCAUGUCUUCCUGUCGGGCUCCUGCAGGCGUGACAGCAACAUUCAGUAGUGUCCAGGCCAACAGCAAACAAAAUUCCAAAGCUGGUCCACUGUUGACCAUGAUUUCAACAGUUUUCAGAUACACCCAGAUCUGAUAGGUAUGCCUCACCACAACAAUUCGGACAGCGGGUGCCCAGUGCAGCAGGUCGGUGGAAGAGGAGAGCAUGACAUCAAAGGGCUCCCAGGAGUGCCAGGUCAGCAGCCAGCGCUGCAGGUAGCUGUUCCACGUCACGCUGGGAUUCCCUCCCCACAC
rnacentral:lncRNA from 1 species